GCAGCGCCGAGUCACCCACGUAGCCUCCGGCUGGGUCGAUACCGUGUUCAUCGCUGAUCACUUCCCAAAACUUGAGAAGGGCAAGGCGGGGGAAGAGACGGGAGACGGGCUUUGGGACACGAAAGUGGAGUGUUCGGCGUGACUCUGACACUCGUCUCGGGCAUUGGCUCUCACUGCCUUGCUUUCCUGCCUGUGCGUCUCGGAAUACAGGGGCCACGGAAAGGCAGACCAAUUCAGCAGAACGAACUAAGCCCUCUCUGCGGACUUGGAGACAACUCUGCCUAUGCAAAUCAUGGCUCCGUAUUUCUUUUAGAACAUGGUACAGCCCUGACCUCGCUCUGAACUCCAGUCCUCCCGCUUCUGCAUGUUUGCUGGAUGGUCCCUCCUGGGCACCUGCUCCCUUCUCACCCUCCAGCAGAUUCCCAUUGGACAUGACAUUGCCACACAGGGAGAACUGGGGGUCACAAGGCUUUCCUGGAGAGUGAGAUCGUCUCCCUGCCCUUCCUGUUCAUCCUCCCUGGGCGAGAGGCUGCGCUCACCCACCAGAGAGACACACUGAGCGCCAGCCUCUGCUUCAAACGGAGGCCAUGCCUUGUCCCCUCUCUCAUCUGGCUUCCACUCAACAGAGCAGCUGGAGAAGUGGCACCUCAAGGGCUCCCCGACUAUUUUUAUGUGGCCAUCUGCCUUCUCGACAGGGCCUGGCAGGCAGCAACCCUCCUGAGGAAUGCCACAGCAGGAAAUGUUCAUGUGACCUCCCCAUAUGACUUGGUGACUGCUAGCUAAAUGAAGCCAUUGUCAGAGCAAUGGUCUGGCACGGAAUGACAUCGAUAGACACUGGGUGUCUUGUAUGGAGAACUGCUCUUCGCCUCAGUGGCAUUUGCUCUUCGUGCUCAUGAGUGCUACAAAACCAACAGUAAUUCCAUUCAAAGCACUUCUAGACUUCUCUAACACUGCCUGAGAUUUUGUACGGUAUCUCCAUGAUUAGCCAACCUGUGAAAAAACUCUGUUAGAAUGCCGUUAUUUAGUAAGUGCCUUCCUCUUGUUGAUUUUUCCUUUUCAAGCCAUGGAACAUAAUGCAAUACCUUGAAAUAAUGUAAAACAUUGUUCUAUUUUUCGCUUUUGUCAUCAAACCGCAAGUGUGUUGUAAUAUAAUUUGUAAGACAUCAUCAAUGGGAAAAAAAUAGUUUUCUCCUGGAGUUGGUGUUUCAUUGUGUGUAUCCACAAAUGGUGUUUCCUCUGCCUCCAUUUCAAUAGUGUCUUCUCCUUCAAGCUUGGUAUAUUUUAAACAUUUGAUCAAUUUUAUAAUUUAUGGAAUUAACUUAUUAUUUUUUAAGGUUUUUAUUUAUUUGACAGAGAUAGAGAGCAUGAGUAGACAGAACAGCAAGGAUACAGAGAGGGAGAAGCAAGCUCUCCACUGACCAUGGAGCCCAAGGUGGGGCUCGAUCCUAAGACCCUGGGAUCAUGACCUGAGCUGAAGGCAGAUGCUUAACCAACUGAGCCAACCAGGUGCCCUAAUCUGUUAUUUUUAAUAACAAAAAGUGUUCUUUCUGAUAAAAUCAAAAGUAUUGGUGCUUCUCCUAGAUUAUAAUAUAUAAUUUUCAAAUCUCUCUUUUAGAUAUUUUUUAAAAAGAUUUUAUUUUUUCAUUUGCAGACAGAGAUCACAAGUAGGCAGAGAGGCAGGCAAAGAGAGAGGAAGGGAAGCAGGCUCCCCGCUGAGCAGAAAGCCCCAUGCGGGGCUCGAUCCCAAGACCUGAGAUCAUGACCUGAGCCGAAGGUAGAGGCUCAACCCACUGAGCCACCCAGGUGCCCCACCCGAAGAUGCUGCAGGAGGUGCCGGCAGGUGGUGGGACAGUGUCCGGUGAAGGGAAGCUUUGCAGGGAUCCGAGCAAGCCCAGAGUUCUCAUCCAGCAAGUCAACGUUCCACCGCAAGCCCCAGUUUAACUUAAGCAAGCAUCAUCUACAUUAUAUUAAAGCUGUGAACCGGGAUUUAGUGGGUUUUUUUCCCAGUUUUGUUUAUAUUUGUUAUGUAAAUUUGAAAAAACAGUUGAAUGGAAGGAAUCAGAAU